GAUGAACGCUGGCAGCAUGCUUAACACAUCAGCGAUUGAUUGGUGGCGGACGGGUGAGUAACUCGUACAGAACUUGCCUCCCCGCUAGGGACGACAUUUAGAAAUGAAUGCUGAUAACUACUACUGUGAGAGAGCUUUGGGUCCCAUUCGCUGGUUGGAGAGGUAACAGCUCACCAAGGCGAUGCUGGGUAGCCGGCCUGAGAGGGUGAGGGGCCACAAGGGGACUGAGCUCCGGCCCUGACUCCUAGGGGAGGAAGCAGUGGGGAAUAUUGGACAAUGGACCGAAGUCUGAUCUAGCAAGUCUGGGUUCACGAUGAAUUUUUCGGAAUGUAAAGGGCUUUCAGUUAGGAAGCGGUACCAACAGAAGAAGUGACGGCUAAAUACGUGCCAGCAGCCGCGGUAAUAC
rnacentral:rRNA from 1 species